AUUUAAAACAAACCUCAAAAAACUUCGUAAGCAACACUCCGAAGUACAAAUUUUCAAUGACUGAAUCAACCUGAAUACUAGCAGUAAGACAAGAAACACGUCUGUAGGGGCUUCACAGCUUCCCGCCGAGCUUGUCCUCCAAAAACAAUUCUUGAAUCACCGCUGACUAAUUUUAUUGGCUAUGUAAUAAUUCACCUACUUAAAUGUUAUAGUUUUGCUUAACCACCACCCGCACAAUCCUGCUACCGCCUCGGAGAACUCCUGAGCUUGCGCCGAUGUAACCCAAAAGUUCCUCCUCAGCCUGGCCCAUUUCCCUCGAUAGUCGACCUACUAGAUCCUUUCGUUAAAUGAGCCUCGCCGUUUUGAUGUUGAGAUCAACCCUUCAUUCAACCUUCUUUUGUAUCAUUUAUACCCUUCACAGACAUCGUUGUCUGAAUCCACCCCAUCGAUGAUCUGUUGGAAUUGCAUCGUUUAUCUCCAAUAUCCCUUCUCCAUGAGUGCUGUUGUAGUUCAAAGAUGGUGGAGAGGGGUAACCGUUCCGCUGUUGUCGACAUCUAAUGAGACUUGAACUACUGCCUCAACCCUGCGAUCUCUUCUUUCGACAGAGUCUGGGCUAUCACCUGCAGUGUCUGCUUCUUUGCCUUAAUCGCAGCAGAUAAGUUCCUCAAUCUGGUCAACACCGCGUUUCAAAGUGGCGCCUGGAAAGCGCGAUGCUCCUGCUGAAUUGUCAUUUGCUCAUUCACAUCGGAGUUCAACAUACUUAGAUCAUUCUAGCAUUUUUAGGUCUCUUCCUAACCAAGCUGGUUUCUAGCAAUCUUGGGCUGGGUGAUGUAGUAUUUGAUUGUUUGCCGCAGGAGUUCUUGCUCCUAACGCAUCUAACCCUACUGCCAAUUUUAUCCUUUCAUUCUUCGAA